rnacentral:lncRNA from 1 species
CACGUAUACCAAUGUGUGAAAAUUUUUUUAUCAAGAUGCUUCUUCAAGUAUGUUGCAGCAACUUGAUCUCUAAGUCCUAUGGCCUCACCUAACAGUUAUUGGCACAUUUCUUAAUUAAGUUCGAUCCACCAUUCACCAGUGAGUGUAGAGCCAUCAUUGGAUCCCUCACCUAAUAGUUAUUGAGCUCAACCCCAUCUUUACCUCGGGGCAUCUAAUGCCAAUAAAGUGGUUGUGUCUUCCUGAUGCAACCGAACCACUGUAACC